GGAUGUGAGGGUGAUCUGGUUGUGGCAAUUGAUCACCAGGACUGAUUUGGCUGAUCUGGCUGGCUGGUCGGGGCGGGGUGGUGGUCCCCUUCCUCCCUCAUCACUCCGUGUGUGUCCUGCCCAAAGCUGUGUGCUGGGUUGAAAAGGACAACCACCCCCGAUAGAGGAGGACCAUUUUCUCUGUCAAGGGUGCAGUAUAUGAGCAGCUGCACUCCCCUCCAACAGGCUCUCAAGGUCCAAAAAUUUGGGUUAGAUCUCUGUUCAGCUUUGCAUGUAGGCAUGUUCAUCACUUAAGGGGUGUCUAUAACACAAGUUUGUUAUUCUAU
rnacentral:snRNA from 1 species